rnacentral:lncRNA from 1 species
AUGAUUACCAACCAGAAACAUAAAAUACAAUUGAGAAUAUGACUAUUUUGAGAUUUGAUGAAAGAAUCGCAUGCACAUUACUGAUGAAAUCGAUGGUUUAAAAAUUAAAAAGAAAACAAAAAAUGAAUGCGUUACUUCAAAUGAAUACGAAAGAAAAGUUGAUUUAAAGCUGAAUCUCAAACAAUAUAGCAACCAUGGUUCUGGGCAUCAUCAUUUCUUUUCUACUGCUUCCAUAUUCCUCUUGUCUUUUUUCUCUUUCCUCAAUCUUUAUUCUUCUUGAAAACCUUAAAAGAGAAAUUGAUUCAAAGAAGUAAGAACAAUCAAAUAACUUUUGAGAGAGAGAAAUUGGUUUAGAGAGAGAGGGGGGCAAAUAAAAAAAAAAUAAAAGGAACAGACAAAGGAAACAAGAAAAUGGAAUAUAGUUGUUUAUGCUGAUAUGUUUAGAAAAGAUGAAGAGCUCAGGAACAAUCUAGAGAGAAACAAUCUUGAUCAAUCCUCAUUAACAAUGAAAUCCUAAAAGGGUUUAUAUACAAAUACAAAUUUAGUGUAGAGGAAACAUAAGGGAGAGAUAGCGUACCAUCAAGAUAGUGAUUACAAACGUAAUAACAAUUUACGUUAAUAUGCUUGGUUCGCUCAUGAAAAACUGGAUUAAAUGCAAUAUUAAUUGCACUUUGGUUAUCUGCAUAUAAAGGUGUGGGAUUUGGAAUAGAGAUACCAAACUCAUUGAGAAGAGCACGAACCCAAACAAUCUCACUAGGAACAGAGGACAUGGCAUGAUACUUAGCUUCAGUGCUUGACUUAGAAACAUUGUCAUGUUUUUUGCUCUUUCAUGAUAUUAAUGAUGACCCAAGGAACACACAAUAUCCUGUAGUAGAAUGACAAGUAUUUGGAUCACCUGCCCAAUCUGCAUUGUAUAUGCACUAAGAUCUAAAGAGGAUAUGGAGUCAAAGAAUAAUCCACAAAUGGAAGUACCUCGAACAUAACGUAAAAUUCGAUGAACUGCUAAUAGAUGUGGUCAUCAAGGAUCUGAAACAAAUUGGGUCACAACAUGGACAACAUAUGCAAUAUCUGGGCGAGUUAUAGUGGGAUAGACGAGGGAACCGACGGGUUUGCAAUACAUCGUAGGCUCAAGAAGAGGAUCUCCAACAUGUACAGAAAGUUUAACAUUGAGUUCCAUGGGUGUAUCAACAACCUUCGUAUCACUCAAUCGGGUACUAAAAACAAGAUCAAGUACAUACAUCUGUUGAUAGAUAUAAAUACCACGUUUAGAGCGAGAGAUCUCAAGGCUAAGAAAAUAAGAUACUUCCCCAAAAUACUUCAUUUGAAAUUCUUCUUGCAAUCGUAGCUUCACAUUCUUAAUGGAAUUAAAAUCAUUACAAAAAAUAAGAAUACCGUCAACAUAUAAUAAAAAAAUAUAAAUUCCAUGCUUUGUGGUUUACUUUGAGUGAAGUCAGUUGCAAGAAUGACAUCUUGAAACCGCUCAAACCACGCACGGGGAGUUUGUUUGAAACCGUAAAUUGCUUUACAAAGUCGACAAACUAAUGACUUAUCUUGAUAAACAAACCCCGGUAGUUGAUGUAUGUAAACUUCAUCUUAAAGUUCGCCGUUAAGGAAUGCAUUUUUUACAUCCAUUUACCUUAUGGGCCACUCACGAAUAAAUGCGAGUGCAGUAAAAGUACAAUUAGUUGUCAUCAACUGGAGCAAAAGUUUCUUCAUAAUCGAUGCCAUGCUCUUGGGCAUAACCCUGAGCAACUAAUCAGGCCUUGUGCUGAUCAAGAGUGUCAUCAGCUCAUAACUUGACUUUAUAAACCCAUUUACUAUCAAUGACAUUCUUUUUUGGGGGCAAUGGGACCAAAUCCAAAGUGUGAUUUGCUUCUAAAGCUGCAAUUUCCUCAUUCAUAGCUAUACACCAACAUUGGAGGUUUGAUGCCUGAGAAUAAGAGAAUGGCUCAUGAAACAACAGAUUAGUAAUGGUUACAGGAGAACAAGUAUGGUAUGGCUAACCACAAGUAAGUUAAGAGGAUCAAGUGGAACGGGCUUUCGAAGUGACCGUCGAAGGUGAACAGAACCGGUAAAAGGAUCAACAACUGGAGGUGAUACAUGAUCAACACUUGACAAAUAUGGCUCAUCAGAGUUAGAUACUGAAUGUGGUAAUCCCUAAUUUUCAUGAUAAUGAGAAGGAGGAAUACAUGAUCAGCACUUGACAAAUAUGGCUCAUCAGAGUUAGUUACUAAAUGUGGUAAUCCUUAAUUUUCAUGAUAAUGAGAAGGAGGAAUAUCGAAACUAAGAAAAAAAGAAAACUCAAGUUCAUGUGUGGUUUAAUUAGGGUGUGGGUAGUGUUGGUGGAAGGCUAUGUGCUCGAAAAAUGUAACAUGUCGGGAUAUUCUAAUACGAUUAAUAGAAUGAUCAAAACACCAAUAUCCUUUUUAAUUUGUUGGAUAACCUACAAACACGCAUUUGAUAGACUUAGGGGAGAGUUUAUCACGUGUAGAAGAUGGUAAAAGCACAAAGCAUGUGCACCCGAACACACGUAAAUGUGAGUAAUUAAGGGGUUUUUGAAAAAGCUUUUGAAAUGGUGACACAUUUUACAAAAUCGGUGUAAGAAGAAGAUUAACAAGAUAGACAACAGUAGACAUCGCUUCAGCCCAAAUAUUUUUUGGGGAAAAUGAGCUAAUAAAAGGAGAACGAGUGGUUUCAAAAAUAUGACAAUGUUUUCUUUCAGCAACUCCAUUAUAUUACGGGGUAUGAGCACAUGAACGUUGAUGAAUAAUGUCAUUUGUAUGAAGAUAUGCUUGAAAUUCAUUGGAUAGAUACUCCCCCCCAGAAUCAGACCUGAAAACUUUAAUAUUUUCCUCACAUUGAUUUUUUAUCAUAUUAAGGAAGUAUUUAAAAAUACUAAACACACUUGACUUGUGUUUGAGAAAAUAAAUCCAAAUAUAUUUAGAAAAUUAUCUAUAAAUAUCACAUAAUCAGAAAAUCCAUUAAUUGAAGGAACAUGAGCAGGGCCCCAAACAUCAGAGUGCACUAAAGAGAAAUGAUGGGUACUUUUAUUAUUGCUAUGAGAAAAAGGUUGAGCUAAGUGUUUUACUAACUUGCAACUCUCACAAACAAUAUUCUUAAUGCUCGAAAAAUAUACAAAAGAGAAGUUGAUUGACUUAUUUCAUGAGGAGAAAGGGAAAAAUGAUAAACUAGCAGAGCUUGUGAAAGAUGGGAAAAAGCUUCACUGAAACUAACUAUGAAAAGCCGACCCUGCUUAGUGCCUCACCUAAUCACUUUUCUGGUUACUAGAUCUUGCACCACACAACUUUUAUUAGAAAAAGAAACAAGGCACUUGUUAUCAACUAACUGGCAAACAGAUAUUAAAUUCAAAUGAAGGUUGGGAAUAUGAUGAGCACCUUUCAUUGCUAAGAAGUUACCAGAUGGACCAGAAACACUAGUAUUACCAAAGAGGGUAAUAUGAAGUGGAGACCCAUUAACAGUAAAAGAAGUUAUAUUUUCACAAUGGGGUUCUAUCGAGGAUAAAUGUGAAAGUUGUACUGUUAAAUGAUUUGAUGCUCUCGAGUCUAUGAUCCAAGUGUUUUAUAAAAUAUUUGAGUUACCUGAAAAACCCAUGAUAGCUAAAACCUGAGCAAGUUGUUGGAGUGUAGUUGAGUCAACAGAGUGAAGAUCUGGCAUGGUUACAGGGUUAAUAAAUUUGGAGGCAGAACAUGCUGGUGGGAAGAUGAAUGGAAGCAAUUGCAGCCCAUUGAGUCUGACUAGGUACAUAAGGCUUCCCACGUGCCUAAAGGCGUUUUCAACAAUCAUUUAUUACAUGCUUGAGCUUCUUAUAAUAAUUGUAAAAAAAUGCAUUUCUUGCACCGAUCGGUCUUGGACAUAAUUGGUAUCUUUGUUAGGGAAAUUGGAUGUGGCCAAAGCUACAUCAGUGAUAUCUUGUGAUGUGGAUUUGCAAACCCCAAGAGCUUAAGCGAGUUUCUUCAGCAAAGAGAUCUGAAAGGCAAUCAUCUAAUGAUGGAGUGGGAGUACAAUGAAAGAUUGAUGCUCUCAUGCUUUCAAACUCCGAUCGCAACCCCAUAAGAAAGUGAAAUAAGCGAGACCGAUUUCGUGCUUUAGUAACAGCUUCAGUUGGUGGCUUUGUCUCCAUCAAGUCCAUCUCAUUCCAUAUACCUGAAAAAAUAUUAAAAUGAUCUUGAAUUGCUGUGUCCCCUUGUUGUGUCUUCAUGCUCUCAUGUUCAAGGGUAUACAGAUGGGCAGUGUUUGCUUGAGAAUAAUCUUCUGUAAAUAAUCCCACAUUGCUUCGACACUAGGUUGAUACGUGAGGUUGCGCCCAAUAUUGGGCUCAACUGAGUUCAUAAUCCAUGUCACAUUAGAGCUAUCUAUGGUAAGCCAAUCGCUACUCCCAUUCUCUUCCUUAGGAAGGGGAACAGAACCAUCAAUAUAGCCCCAUAACUUUCGUCCCAUGAGAAAACGUCUCAUUUGGAAAGAUCACAAGCAGUAGUUCUUCCCAUCAAGACAAACAGAAAUAAUAGCACUCACUGUAUUAUUUUUGCAUUCCAUUGAGAGAUAAUUUGUUUUUUUUUUGUUUUUUUGGAGAAUAAAAGUUUGCUAAUAGGAUGGAAAACAACUGCAAAUUGCUAGGUUCAAUGAAAGACUGUUGCAGUGGGAGAGCACAAUAGCUUGCAAAGCAUUAGAAAGAAACGUCAAAUAAAAACUUGCAAGCACAAAGUGAUCAAUUGUGUAGGGUUACAAAGAGAGCUUACAAGGCAAAUUUUGCAAGCAGCAGUUGUUAAAGAGAUUUGCAAGGCAAAGUGUAUCAGACAGGCAAAUCUUGCAGCGGAAAAUUUUUUAUGGAGACGAGCCAAACUUGGUGUGGUAAAUUUUGAUGGAAAAAUUUUGCUGAAAAAAUAAAUAAGCCGUGGAUGAUAUCAAUACGAAUUAAAUAGUUCUCAGAUGGCUAGGCGUCGAUAUGGACGAAGUGAAAACAAAUACUCGAGGAAGAGAGAGUACGCACAAAUAAAACAGAAAGGAAAUGGAUAACUACCGAGACAAUGGGUUAAUAGCCAUUGUUUCUUAUUACUCUCUGCAAUAACAGCAAGAAAAUGGAUGGAGACAAAAGUGUAUUCCUUAAGAGGAAGAAGUUUCAAAGGAGAGAGAAUAGAACAAUGAAAAUUUGCAAGGUUCGGAAGGUUUCAAAUUUGCAAAGAAAGUUUAGAGAGAGAAUAAGAGAGAAUCGAGGGUUUGGGGCAUCAGGCAAGGGGAAUGUACCGAAGUUCUCUACGCCCAUAAACCACAUGACAUCGUUUGCAAUGAAAAUUUGCAAUGAAACUUGGCAAUGAAACUUGCAAACUUGCAAUGAAAAUUUGAGAGAUCAAUGAUUGCUCAAAUCGUAUAUGAUCAGGCAAAGUAAACGGAAGAUGGAGAUUAAGGUAUCCACAAAGAAAAUAAAAUUUAUUUGAUUAUUGACCUUCACAAAAAGAGCGAUUUGUCAACAGCAAUUGGAAAGAGAUGAUCAGAUCUUUGUCAUUCUGAUACCAUGUUAGGUUUAGAGACGAUGAAGAGGAACGGUCUAGAGAGAAACAAUCUUAAUUAAUUCUCAUUAACAAAUAAUGAAACCCUAAAAAGAUUUAUAUACAAAUACAAAUUUAGUGCACAUAACAUUAUCGCAACACAAAUAUACAAUAACAAUCAAAGACAAUUAAAAAUUAUGAAAAUUAUACAUUUUACCUUGUAUACACCUUAUUAUAUGCACACAUACCUACAUCAAUCUUUGAACUUCUGAAACAUGCCCUUCUUUUUCGCUCUUUUUCUCUCCAAGUUCUCCCUCUCCUCCACUUUCUCUCUCAUCCUCUCCAGGAUCUCCCUCUCCUCCACUUUCUCUCUCCUCCUCCCCAAGCUCUCUCUCUCCUCCAUACUCUUUCUCAUCUUCUAUCAGUUGUUCAUUAUGGUCCUCAAUCUGUUCUUCAAUCUGGUCUUGGUCAUAAAACACAACUGCAAUAUUCUCGCCUGAAUUCCUUAAUUCGGUUUACCCAAUCCGAUUCGGAUUCAUGGUAAAAGUUUCCCAAAUCCCCAUUGUUAUUCAGGCUGUGCAGGUCCCUCUCCAAGUUCCCUUUCUCCAAAGAAACCAGAACCCACGUGAUGAAAUUACUCUGAUACUACUCUGAUAUAGUUCUUUUUGCAAAGAUAGCUGCUCUGUUUAACUCUCUCUCUAUGUAUUUCAACAGAGAGAGUCCCAAAUAAUGAAAGAGCUCCUUGCCCAAGAACGC